CCUACGGGAGGCAGCAGUGGGGAAUAUUGCACAAUGGGGGAAACCCUGAUGCAGCGACGCCGCGUGAGUGAAGAAGUAAUUCGUUAUGUAAAGCCCUAUCAGCAGGGAAGAAAAUGACGGUACCUGAGUAAGAAGCCCCGGCUAACUACGUGCCAGCAGCCGCGGUAAUACGUAGGGGGCAAGCGUUAUCCGGAUUUACUGGGUGUAAAGGGAGCGUAGACGGCAGUGCAAGUCUGGAGUGAAAGGCGGGGGCUCAACCCCCGGACUGCUCUGGAAACUGUACGGCUGGAGUGCAGGAGAGGUAAGUGGAAUUCCUAGUGUAGCGGUGAAAUGCGUAGAUAUUAGGAGGAACACCAGUGGCGAAGGCGGCUUACUGGACUGUAACUGACGUUGAGGCUCGAAAGCGUGGGGAGCGAACAGGAUUAGAUACCCCUGUAGUC
rnacentral:rRNA from 1 species